CACACUUCGCGCCAAGGAGGAUUUUUUUAUUUUAAAGGAGCUGCUGGUGUAAACUAGUCUCAUCACGAUCAAUAAGAAAAACUCAUUUAUUUUGUUGUGGAUUAUGGACAUCAGGCGGUUCUUUGUAUCAAGCAAACCCGCAGCACAGAAACCAUCUCAGGAUGGAACCCUCCACACGGAGAAGGAAUCCACGAAGAAGAAGAAGAAAUCCGUCUCAACAGACGAAGAAGUGAAGAAGAAGAAACCUGGCACCAAGAUCACCAGCCCCAAGGUGGAGAAGAAGAAGGACAAUGAUAA